UCGGUUUAGUGACGAUGGUCCUGGCUGUACAGUACCAGCGGAUUUAAUUGAUGUGUUUCCUUUCAAUUCCGAGUGUGAUCGUGAUAUUACUAAAAAGGACUGAGGUUUUUGAUUAGUUUCAGUUCUGAGUAAGUUCUUAAGUGAUGGGGUCAAGGGUUUUGACUUGGGUUGGGCUUGAAAGAAAACAAACCCUAGCCCAAGAGAGGGGACGCAGGCUAUGAAGGGUCUUGGGAGGGAAAGGGUUUCUUUUCACACUAUUCUGAAGAAAGAAACCUUGAACACUUCUGAAACACGUAAAACAGAGGAGAAAGAGUGAGAGAAACUUUCCCCUUGCACCCUAGCCGUCACCGUCCCAAGCCCUACCACCGUCGACGUGUUCGCGCAAGAGAGAGGAGGAGUUUGCGAGCGAGAGGGAGAGAGGAAGGGUUACGCGUGGGAGAAGAGGAGAGAAACCAGAACCUUGCUCUUCAAUUUCAUCUUUUCUUCAAGCCUAAGGACAAAGAUGGUCGUGAAGAUAAUGGCGAUGACACAUUCUUGGGAGUUGAUGCUACGUGACGUGCCAAUACCGGAGGACGACUACACUUUAGAGGAAGAGGAAGAGGCUAAGGAAUAGGGUUUGGGUUGAGAGUCUUUUGUUUUCUGUUGGGGUUGAGAGUUUCCGAAGUGUUGGUAUCGAACAAUUUUAUUGCUUAAAUUCGAAUGAACAAGUUUUGAUGUAA